rnacentral:rRNA from 1 species
UGGGCAACCUGCCCCAGACUCUGGGAUAACUCCGGGAAACCGGGGCUAAUACCGGAUACUCCGAUCGGACGACAUCGUCUGACCGGGAAAGCUCCGACGGUCUGGGAUGGGCCCGCGGCCUAUCAGCUUGUUGGCGAGGUAACGGCUCACCAAGGCGACGACGGGUAGCUGGUCUGAGAGGGCGAUCGGCCACACUGGGACUGAGACACGGCCCAGACUCCUACGGGGAG